GACGAACGCUGGCGGCGUGCUUAACACAUGCAAGUCGAACGGAAAGGCCCUGCUUUUGUGGGGUGCUCGAGUGGCGAACGGGUGAGUAACACGUGAGUAACCUGCCCUUGACUUUGGGAUAACUUCAGGAAACUGGGGCUAAUACCGGAUAGGAGCUCCUGCUGCAUGGUGGGGGUUGGAAAGUUUCGGCGGUUGGGGAUGGACUCGCGGCUUAUCAGCUUGUUGGUGGGGUAGUGGCUUACCAAGGCUUUGACGGGUAGCCGGCCUGAGAGGGUGACCGGAGACAUGGGGACUGAGAUACGGCCCAGACGCAUACGGGAGGCAGCAGUGGGGAAUAUUGCACAAUGGGCGGAAGCCUGAUGCAGAAACGCCGCGUGCGGGAUGAAGGCCUUCGGGGUGUAAACCGCUUUCGCCUGUGACGAAGCGUGAGUGACGGUAAUGGGUAAAGAAGCACCGGCUAACUACGUG
rnacentral:rRNA from 1 species